rnacentral:rRNA from 1 species
ACGAACGCUGGCGGCGUGCCUAAUACAUGCAAGUAGCACGCUGAAGGAGGAGCUUGCUCUUCUGGAUGAGUUGCGAACGGGUGAGUAACGCGUAGGUAACCUGCCUGGUAGCGGGGGAUAACUAUUGGAAACGAUAGCUAAUACCGCAUAACAGUAGAUGUUGCAUGACAUUUGCUUAAAAGGUGCAAUUGCAUCACUACCAGAUGGACCUGCGUUGUAUUAGCUAGUUGGUGGGGUAACGGCUCACCAAGGCGACGAUACAUAGCCGACCUGAGAGGGUGAUCGGCCACACUGGGACUGAGACACGGCCCAGACUCCUACGGGAGGCAGCAGUAGGGAAUCUUCGGCAAUGGACGGUAGUCUGACCGAGCAACGCCGCGUGAGUGAAGAAGGGUUUCGGAUCGUAAAGCUCUGUUGUAAGAGAAGAACGAGUGUGAGAGUGGAAAGUUCACACUGUGACGGUAUCUUACCAGAAAGGGACGGCUAACUACGUG